UAAAAAUAAUCUGAUAAGGUUAAAACCAGUUGAAAAACAUAGUGUAUGACGCGUAAAAGAGAUACAUGUAUCUAUAUUAUUUUAAUAAUUAUGAGUUUGAAAGAUAGGUCACCUAUAUUUGUACUAUUCUAAUAAUUGUGAGUUGCAAGUGGCAAAGGACUUGGUGGUUGAUACCCGAGACCUAAGUUCGAAUCGUAAUUGAUUCACAUUAAUUUCCAGCUAAGUUUAUUUCUAAAUGAAAUAAACGAAGCGGGUAGCGUGCUAUCUAUCUCUCAAAAAAAAUAAAAAUA
rnacentral:lncRNA from 1 species